rnacentral:rRNA from 1 species
GACGAACGCUGGCGGCGUGCUUAACACAUGCAAGUCGAACGAAGUGGCGAACGGGUGAGUAAUACGUGGGUAACCUGCCCUCCUUUUUGGGAUAAGCCUUGGAAACGGGGUCUAAUACCGACUAUAGGGGGAUGGGCUCGCGGCCUAUCAGGUUGUUGGUGGGGUGAGGGCCCACCAAGGCGGUGGCGGGUAGCCGGCCUGAGAGGGUGACGGGCCAGAUUGGGGGUGAGAAACGGCCCAGGCUCCUACGGGGGGGAGCAGUGGAGGAUAUUGGCCAAUGGGCGAAAGCCUGAUGCAGCGGAGCCAGGUGGGGGGUGGAGGGUUUCGGGUUGUAAGCCUCUUUCGCUAUCGAAAGGGUAGGUGAGGAAGAAGCGCCGGCUAACUACGUGCCAGCAGCGCGGUAAUUC